GUGUGUGUGUGUGUGUGUUUGUUUAUAUUACAUAGUGGGGUCCACAACACGUUAGCACACUCACAUAGUGGGGACCGAAAACAUAGUGGGGACCAAAUCCCCGGUCCCCACAAUGUUUUGCUUUUAAUCGGCUCAGGAGGCGGUGCUGAUAUGACUAGUGCAGUUUUUUUCUUGAUCCCCUCCAUGAACAAAAACCGGAUUUCUGUGUGUGAGUGUGUGGGGCCGCGCUGCUCUACAGCGCCCCUGUAGCCAGGUCGCGGAACUGCACCUCUAUACACACAUGUGACGUAAUAUAUGAAGGUACACAUUUUUUAAACCGCUCAUGCCAAAGUCGCUUAAUUAAACGACAAAAACAACUUUAAACAGUGUCUGUCAACGGGGAAAGUACAUUCUUUCAGGUAAUUAACCUACUUGUAAAUAUUAUAUUACAUAAUUCAAUAAAUAUACAUCACAAAUUCGAAUUAUUUUUAAGAAUGUUUAUGUGAUGGAGUUUUUUAAUGAGAUUAAUUAAUUAACGUUAAAGUUUUUAUCAGAAUCAUAAUCUUUGAAUAAGGCGAAUGAAUUAUUGCUUAACUUAAAUUUAAUGCUGUUAUACAAUUUAAAGUGUUUACUUGUGCGUGUUACUGCGUAUUGUAAAGUGUUAUAAACUGCGGUGUGGCGGGAGAUUGUGAGACCGCGUGACCUCUCUCAAUUACUGGAACCCGAGGAGCGACGUGAGACGGCCUGUUGAAAUGAAACGGAGAAGAAUAAAACCGUUAAAAGAAGCGGAAGAUCAUGUUCUCCGUUGCAUCGACAAGACCGAUGCACUGGAGGCCAAACACAUAAACGAUUAUAAAGGUCGUGGAGUCUUUGCCUUAAUUCCUUUUAUUAAAGGAGAUUUUGUUGUCGAAUAUAGGGGAGAAAUGAUUAGCUUAAUUGAAGCCGAACAAAGAAGAGAGGCCAAUCAAGACACUUUUUUAUGUUUGACUUCAUCUGGCAGAACAAGAAAUGGAGCAUUGAUGCAACUCAUGAGGAUGGCACCCUUGGCCGCCUUAUAAAUGAUGAUCACAUAAACCCAAAUUGUACAAUGAAAAGGAUUAUCGUUGAGGGAAAACCCUGUUUGUGCCUAUUCGCUGCAAGAGAUAUCAUUCCUGGAGAGGAACUCACAUAUGACUAUGGAGGAAGUCACUGGCCUUGGAGAAAGCCUCCAUGCAAGGAUGAUGACAACAUGACAGCAAUAGAGAACUGCUCUGAGGAU